rnacentral:rRNA from 1 species
GCGGAAGGAUCAUUACCGAGUGAGGGCCCUCUGGGUCCAACCUCCCACCCGUGUCUAUCGUACCUUGUUGCUUCGGCGGGCCCGCCGUUUCGACGGCCGCCGGGGAGGCCUUGCGCCCCCGGGCCCGCGCCCGCCGAAGACCCCAACAUGAACGCUGUUCUGAAAGUAUGCAGUCUGAGUUGAUUAUCGUAAUCAGUUAAAACUUUCAACAACGGAUCUCUUGGUUCCGGCAUCGAUGAAGAACGCAGCGAAAUGCGAUAAGUAAUGUGAAUUGCAGAAUUCAGUGAAUCAUCGAGUCUUUGAACGCACAUUGCGCCCCCUGGUAUUCCGGGGGGCAUGCCUGUCCGAGCGUCAUUGCUGCCCUCAAGCACGGCUUGUGUGUUGGGCCCCCGUCCCCCUCUCCCGGGGGACGGGCCCGAAAGGCAGCGGCGGCACCGCGUCCGGUCCUCGAGCGUAUGGGGCUUUGUCACCUGCUCUGUAGGCCCGGCCGGCGCCAGCCGACACCCAACUUUAUUUUUCUAAGGUUGACCUCGGAUCAGGUAGGGAUACCCGCUGAACUUAAGCAUAUCAAUA